UUAGUGGGAGGGGAUAACGUACGGAAACUGUAGCUAAUACCGCGUAGUGUCGAGAGAGAAGUGCGGGACCGCAAGGCCGCAUGCCAUGAGAUGAGCCCAAGUGGGAUUAGGUAGUUGGUGGGGUAAAGGCCUACCAAGCCUGCGAUCUCUAGCUGGUCUGAGAGGAUGGCCAGCCACACUGGAACUGAGACACGGUCCAG
rnacentral:rRNA from 1 species